CUUCUGUCUAAUUCAAAGAAUAUUAAGGAAUCAUAUUUGACUUAUAGAUCCAAUAAAAGCCCUUUGGGAAAACUGGCCUCAUACCUACUCUACACAGUUCCUGUACAGGAUUCCUGACCUGUGGCCAUCAAGCACCAGAUAAUCCUCAGUGAGUGAUACAUCCCCUUAAUAUUCAAGAGCCACCCUUCUGUAGGGGGCCGAUAGAAUGCCCCAUCAGUGGGACAAGACAGAGGUGAAAUCCUGCCCCUCUCUCCCUUGGACCUGGCUAGAUACUGCUUUUACCAUCCCAUGGAGUCACACUGCCCUGACAGAAAAAGAGGCCUGCAGCAAUCCUGGAGAGGCUGUCACUCUAAUGUUUAUGGAAAAGUCAGUAGAAGCAGCCUCCAGACCUCAGCUUCUUCAGGAUUUGCCUUAGUUGCCCAAAGCUGUUUCACUCCAAGUCACAACAUUCCUUUGGAAGCCCACAACUGAUGACUGAGGGUUAGAUAUCUAAGGCCUGUCCAUUUUAGCCUGACAUCAAAUACCCUGACAGGUAGUAUUCCCUUUAGAGGUGUUCACCAGGUUGGCCAAGACUUUGUUAGGUCUGCAUUGCAGUUAAACUUCUUCCCCUGUUCACUUCUACUUGCUAUAUCUUUCACAGACUCAUGGAUUUUUGUAGUGUAUUUUUAAUCAAAUUAUUUUGUAGAAAGGGACUCUGAAAAAAAAUAAAAACUUUUGUUUGUGGCCCUGUGUAUGUACCCUAGAGGCAGUCACUACGGGACAUAACCUGUGCAGUCCAUUUCUUGGAUAGUCGUCUUACUCUAUACUCAAUUCUGCUGGAGAACACUGGCCUCUGAUUCCUUCUCUCAUACCAAUGACCCCUCACUGCUCGCUUAGUGUGCCAAUAAUAUUCACUAUUAAUUUCUAGAAAUGAAAGGCUUUAUAUAACAAAAUAUAACAAGCUGAUCUUGACUGUAACUAGUUUUGACAAUUGAUACAUUUCUUUUGUGUACUCAGAGAGAUGCUGUUCACCUCUUUUUUGUUUCCUGAGACAACUUAUAUUACUUUCUUGGCAAGCAUUUAGAACACCUGCACAUAAACCACAGGUGAAAUACAGAAUAGAGCCCUCUAUAUUAAUUUUCUUGGUAGCAAUUAGUUGUACUGGUGUUUGUUCUCAGAAAGCUUCUGAACUACUGCUCAAAGCCAGCUCAAUUUUGAUGAAGGAGACUGAUUUCUUAGCAAUAUUUUCAAUCUUUGUACCCCAUGCUGAUAGCAGCUGGAUCAGAAAUACACUCAGCAUUGCUUUCGUGCUUGACAGUUAUAGUUGUGACCAUGUUAAUUACCAUCCUGUCUAACAGCACAAUGGGGACACUGUAUAGCUCUGAGAGUGAUUAUAGUCUUGCCUUCUGCAGAAAGACUUUCUUGGAAAUCAUGAGUAAUUUGUAAUUAAAGAAGACGUUCCAAUCAUCCUUGGUAAAUAUAUCUUUUUUCUAGAAUAAAAUUGUUUCACUUUCAUUUUGGUUAGGUAUUUUGCAAGUUAGGUAUAUCUGGGAAUGGGAUCCCAAGGGUCUCUUGUUCUGUAGUCUGUGACAGUUAAACAUGAGAAAAUGCCUUAUUAUAAAAUGUGCCUUGUUUUAUAAUAAAAAUGUAAAAUUAAUUUGUUUUACAUUUAAAUAAAGAUUAUUUUAUAUAUGUAAAAGUUUUAUAAUAAGGCACAAUGUGCAU
rnacentral:lncRNA from 1 species